GCCUUCGUGGUGUAAUUAGAAGCACGUCCGACUAGCAAUCGGAAGGUCCGUAGUACGAGUUCCGGUGAGAGCA
rnacentral:tRNA from 1 species